UUAGACAUUCCCCGCUCCAAAUCCGUGACAACCUGGAGUUGUGCAGAGAGGUGCUCACUCAAGAAGGCAGCAGUGCAGCUGCUUGGGCUAUUGCAGCCGGCAAAGCCAACCUCCUCUCCAGUUUUCUGUGAGAGGGCCAACACCGCUUCUACCUGGACAUUUGUAACACGCUGAUGGAUUUCAAGUCUGCAGCAUUCGGUUGAUAGACAUUGGGCUCCGUGGAAACCCACAGCCUCCAGUGCUGUGCCCAGCUCUGGGCUCCCCAGGACGAGAGAGACGUGGGCAUCCUGGGGAGACCCCCAGUGCCCCUCCCCCACCACGGCGGUUAGAAUGCGACGCUGUGUUGACCCGGCGCUGGCCCGGCAACGGUUCUGUGCCAACAGGGAGCGGCAGGGGGCAGAGCCCAGCUCUUCCCCAGCAGCGAUCCUUGGCACUUGGACGCCCUUUGGGAGUCUCUUGGCUGCCUACUGGGCAGGAUUUGAAGGACCACCACUUUGUCCAGCGUGACAGUUGCACUGUCUUCGUCGGGAUGGGCCAGGUCAACUGCUGUCGCGGGUCCAGGGACGACCCUGAGCCCGAGCAGCAGUGCGUGCCCGUCCCAGCAUCUCACCAGCCACUGCUCCGGCAGAGCCAGGCGAAGGCUGGUGCAGAGCAGCAGCCACCACCUCUUUCCUCCGCCUGCAGCGACGGUGGAGUUGGCCACUCGGCUGGUGAGUUUGGGGAAAACAAGAGCAGGACGGCCCUUCUCUCCUCCUCUCCCAGACAGACACUCGUGCUGCACUGGGGCUGCUGCUCCCUUUUCCGCAGGGCA